GGAAUGCUAGUCCAACGGUUAAGGUGCCCGGCGGUAGUCGUGUGUUCUGGGUUCGAACCCCAUGUGUAUCA